rnacentral:rRNA from 1 species
UACGUAGGGGGCAAGCGUUGUCCGGAUUUAUUGGGCGUAAAGAGCUCGUAGGCGGUUCGGUAAGUCGGGUGUGAAAUCUCCGUGCUCAACACGGAGCGGCCACCUGAUACUGCCGUGACUCGAGUCCGGUAGGGGAGUGUGGAAUUCCCGGUGUAGCGGUGAAAUGCGUAGAGAUCGGGAGGAACACCAGUGGCGAAGGCGGCCGGCUGGGGGUGACCUGACGCUGAGGCGCGAAAGCGUGGGGAGCGAACCGG